rfam:Parcubacteria (Wolfebacteria) bacterium GW2011_GWA2_47_9b TY19_C0018, whole genome shotgun sequence.
GCACUCGUAGCUCAAUUGGUUAGAGCACCCGCCUGUCACGCGGGAGGUUACCGGUUCGAGCCCGGCCGAGUGCG